rnacentral:rRNA from 1 species
UACAGAGGUCCCAAGCGUUGUUCGGAUUCAUUGGGCGUAAAGGGUGCGUAGGUGGUGCUGUAAGUCAGGUGUGAAAUCUCGGGGCUCAACCCCGAAACCGCACUUGAUACUGCAGUGCUGGAGGACUGGAGAGGAGAUCGGAAUUCAUGGUGUAGCAGUGAAAUGCGUAGAUAUCAUGAGGAAGACCGGUGGCGAAGGCGGAUCUCUGGACAGUUCCUGACACUGAGGCACGAAGGCUAGGGGAGCAAACGGG